GAGGUUUGUAUGCAGAACUUUUUGUGCAUCUAAGUCGUUUUCACUAUUGGGACUUUUGAAUUGACGAUCGAUUUCUGUUAAACUUGAUUUAGAGUAUUUUGAAAUAUCUAGAAAAUAAAAUUUGUGAUUUUUCGAUAUCAUUUGCCUAUUAAUCGAAGGGGCUUAAAAUCAAUAAUUUUAAUGGCCGUGGUGAGCCGUUUGCAAGUUUAACGGUGUAAAAAUAUUCAAAUCAUGUGAAAUUUUGAUAGAAAAUUUUUUAUACUAUAUAAAAUGAGAUCAAUAUUUUUGAUCUAAAAUUUUAAUGUCAUAUCAUUCUAUUUUGUAAGAUUUUUAUUUUCAACUGUUGAUUUUGAGCCACUUCGAUCACUAGGCAAAUGAUAUAAAAAAUCACAAAAUUUAUUUUUUAGAUACUUAAAAUACUCUAGAUCAAGUCUAACGAAGCUGAUUGUCGAUUCUGAUUGUCGAUUCGAAAGUCUCAAUAUUGAAAACGACUUGGAAGCACGGAGCGUUCUGUGUUUCAAGAAGAAUACCAGACUCGCUAUAUAUAUAUAUAUAUAUAUAUA
rnacentral:lncRNA from 1 species